GACCUGUCAUUGGCUACAGCAGAAUAAAGUGAAGGUUCUGGAGUAGCCAUCUCAGUCUCCUGACCUCAGUAUCAUUGAGCCACUCUGGGAAAUCUCAAACAUGCAGUUUAUGCAUGAAUUUACAGGAACCGGAGGCUUUUUGCCAAGCAGAAUGGGCAGCUUUACCAUCAGAGAAAAUAAAGAGCCUUGUCUGCAACGACCACAAACGACUCCAAGUUGUCAGUUGUGUUAAAGGAGGCAGCACACUGUAUUAAGAAGAGGGGGAUGUAAACUUUUGAUCAGGGCCAUUUGUGUCGUUUCUGUUGCCAUUAU